AUGAGUAAGUCUUCAAGAGUUCUUUCAUG
rnacentral:piRNA from 1 species